AAGAUGAUUGCAGGAGAGAAGUCUCUUGCGGACUCGCCGAAGGAGCAACGACCCCGGAAACUCUCAGGCAAAAGGACUGUAAUCAUUGU
rfam:Caenorhabditis remanei strain PB4641 contig3356.1, whole genome shotgun sequence.